UAAAGAGAAUGAAAUAAAAACUUACAAAAAAUGAAAUAAUUUUUACUUCUUUUUUAUAUAUGUCAUCUCCUCUUAUAAUCAACAGUCACGUAAAAGAAUGUUGGGAGGGUGAGGAGGUAAAUUCGUACACACCCGUUACAUGUAAUCGCCUCUAUCCCCUCUUAUUCUUCUAAUUUCUCAACAACAAAAAUACAAGACCCCCAAACAGGCCUAGUCGAGGUGUGCACGUAUGUUUGUGUGACAUGUAAAUUUAGUGUCUAGUAGGGAUGGUCCUCCUCAUUAUAAGCAGGAUCAUAGUUGCAGAUGACAUAGUUUAGUCCAUUCUUGCACUUUGAAAUGCCACAACCAACUUCGGUGGUUUUGCCCCAAAUCACACCAAGGUAAUGUCCACAUUCGUCUCGGACGCAUUUGUUUAGGUCGUAGUCAUAAAACUCCUUCUCAGUGACCCAAUACUUGGCGGCAGCUGCUCCAGACAUGCCUUCUCCUGAGGCCAAGUUCUCACCAUAAGGCCCCAUUGAGUGCUCCAUGGCGCAGUCAUCAACUCUCUUGUCUGCAUAAUCUUGGGCAUACUUGGCUAGGGUCGCGUUCCAUUUGAGUGGACGGUUGCCGACCUGGGCGCGGGCCUUGUUGUGUUCCUCCACGAAGCCAUCGAUAUCUUCUUUGGAAAGGUCUGCAGAGACAAGAGUGAAGAACAAUGCGACGGAGCAGAUGGCCAGAAGAAGCUUGAUGUUGAACGCCAUUUUGUUUCUCGGUAUGAGAAAGGUCUCGGAUGUUAUUGUAUUAGAGAAUGUUGAAUUGAUAGAGGUUAAUUGAAAGGGCAAAUGAGAUUGUGCAUAUUUAUAUAGUUGAGAGGGUUAAAUAUAGGAUCCUUGAAAAUGGGAGGGUUUCUCAAGUUCUAUAAAUAACCAUGGAGAACAAAUAAGACCUGUGAGAGUGGAUUUUAGAUUCAUAGAAACAGUGUAUUGUCGGACAAUCAAUCUAUACCAUUGAUUAAGUAGGUUUUAUUUUAAUCCUAUAUUACAAUAUAUAAUCAUUACUUAGGUGAGGAUUUUUCGCUGCAAUGACAAACAUUUAGCCUUGCAAUGAGGAUCAAAGUUUUGACUCUCGUCUUCUCUAUCUCAUAAAUAAAGUAGUCGUUACUCCAGAAUGAUAUAAAUGAACUUGUAAUAUGGCCCCUCUGUCAACUUCUUGUGGCUUUUAAAAAUAAAAGGUAAAGCAUUAUGCUUCUUACCAAAAUACAAACAAAUGAAAGAGGAAGCAAAUUAAUUAGACAAAAAGGUCACCUUUCGUUCAUGUAGUUUGAUGAAAUUUUCACUUUUGUUCUUGUAAUUUUAAUUCUAGCAAUUUGACCCAUGUAGUUUGAUAAACACGCGUCUCUUAUGUGGAGGAGUAUUUUGUACCGAAUUUUGGACGAAAUUCACUGGAAAUUUAGAUGGGUCCUUGAAUUGCGAUAGAAUCAAACUACAAAAGUGAAAUGACAAAAUUAAACUACAUGGAUCAAAAUAAAAAAAAAUUCCGACAAAUUACAAGGACCAAAAAUAACUUUUUUUUCCCAAUUAAAUAUGGAUAUAGAGGAAAACGUUUGAAGGGUGUUGCCUCUCUUGGUCUUGCAACAACUUUGGGCUCUCAUAUGCCCGAGUUGCCCCAUAUCAGAUUGGUAUUGUUUGGCCCAUGAAAAACUCUUGCUAGUUUUCUCGGUUUUCAGGCCCAUUGUAGCAAAAAGGAAAUACGUAUGGUUGUUUAGCUUUAUGUUUCUUAGCAAACUAAUGGACAAUUAGUCUUUUAUUAAAAUUACCAGUAGUUUUGGUUGUUGAAUCUCGUGCAAGUUAGGUUGUGGUUGUAUUGGCUGCAAGCGGUGCAAGUUAGGUUGUGGUUGUAUUGGCUGCAAGCGGAACGUAGGCGCUUUAGGUGUGUGUUGACCAUGCACUCUCGCGUCAUGUAAUGUCGUAUGUAUGAUAUUGGUGGUGUGGUAAACCAAUUACUUUUUUGUCUAGUUAUAUUUUUCUUUCCAAUAUUAAAAACAAAAAAAUUCUCAAAUUCGAAUCUUCCCUCACUUAAAGAUUUUAAAAAAAAAAAAAACACAUAGACAUAACUGGAAAAACCAUAGAAAUAAUUAGUGAAAUAUAAUUACAACGAACACAUUCAAAUUUUCAAAAUCUAUAAAGACAUAAGAGAUCCAAGUUCCUACCUAUAAUCACUGCAACCACAAUCUUGACCAAGGGUUUUAAUCCAAAGAAUCUUUGAGAUCUUGAAUAAAGUUAGGUGACAUCUCAACCUUUACGACAAGUGUUCUAUUCUACUUUAUCUCUCCAAUCAUAUGAAGUUCUAAUCUUACUUGAAAUGGUAUAAGAUCAGUCCUUAUCUCUUGGAUUACAGGGGUCCAAGAGAUUUGUGAUCACUUACCGUUGGAUGUAAAUUCAACGAUUCACUCACUCUUGCACUCUUUUGAAGAAACUUUUUUGAACCAUUGCAUUAAUAUCCAAUGGUGGGUGACUACAAUCUCUUGGACUCCUGUGGUCCAAGAAAUCGGGACUCGGUAUAAGAUAUCAUAUAAGAUUUGUUAUAUUUAUAAUGGAAUGGGCUAAAUUUACUUUACGUGAAGGAUGUUGUAUUAGAAAUUUUGGGCUAAGAAAAACCACCACACCUGGGCUAUAGCUCAAGUUAGUCCUUACUAAGGACCAUCCUUGUUUAUUGUACAACCACAAUCAAAUUGGUAUACAAAUCUCAUAUAUACAUAAAGAAACGGUGCAUACAAACAUCAUGAACAAGAAAAUCUUAGGUGGCAUUUGGCAUCCUAUUCAAGUAUGGAAUUCAAAAACUUUUAUUUUUCUUGAAAACAAAGAGUCCUAAAACCCAUUUUUUAAGAUUCAAAAACUUGUUUGGUAUUCAAUGAGGGAACUCAAACUUUAAAAACAAGGAGUUCUGAAAUUCAUGUUUGAAGAUUAAAAAACUUGAUCAGACCAAAAAAAAAAAAAAGAUUAAAAAACUUGUUUGUUAUGCAACUUGAAAACAGUUUCUUUGAAAAAAUUCUAUAAAAUAGAUUUGUUAUAUUUUCAAGUAUUUGGGUGUUUUUGAGUUAUUUUUUAGUUUAGGUUUUCAAAACUAGGUCUCUACCAAACAAAUUUUUUGAGUUUUGGACUUAAAUAAUUUUUCAUUUUUUAUUUUUUGUAAAGUUUCACAAGUUGGAUUCAAAUAGAAUACCAAACAUGCACUUCACAUCCUUUUGAUAUUCCAUUUGUCAAUUAAAGACAAAGGCGAGAUGCAGAGGCAGACGAGAGAGAUUGGCCAAAAAAAAAAAAAAAAAAGAAAGAAAGAAUGAGAAUGACAUAAUAUUUCAGUUAGAAAUUACAGAAAUGAAAUAAUCUUAUUCUUUUUCAUUUUUUGAUUCACUCUUGUCACCUCUCACAAUACCAUAUCAAGUGCUAGUCACGUAAAAAAAUGUUGUGAGUGUGGGGAAGUAUUUGUAUACAUUCGUUACAUUUUAUUUUUCUAAUUUCAGUAAAAGAAAAAAAAAACACAGGACCUCUCAACAGGCCUAAUGUUGGUGUGGUUACGCGCACGUGAGCGUACAUACAUCAUCUAGUGGGGGCGCUCGUCUUCGGGCUGGUACAUGGGAUCGUAGCUGCAAACUACGUAGUUUUGUCCAUUCUUGCACUUUGAAAUGCCACAUCCGACCUUGGUAAUUUUGCCCCAGACCACAGCAAGGUAGUGACCACAUUCGUCUUUGACGCAUUUGUUGGACUUUUCGUCAUAGAACUCCUUCUUGGUGACCCAAUACUUGGUAGCAGCAGCACCGCUCAUGCCGUUGCCAGAGGCCAAGUUCUCACCCCCAACGCCCAAUCAAGGGAUCCAUGGCGCAAUCGUCAACUCUUUUCUCAGCAUAUUCUUGGGCAUACUGGGCUAAGGUCGUGUUCCACUUGAGGGGUUUGUUGCCGACCUCUUUACGAGCCUUGUUGUGCUCCUCGUCGAAGCCAUUGAUCUCUGCUUUGGAAAUGUUUGCAGAGACAACAGUGAAGACCAAUGCGACGCAACGGAUGGCCAAAAGAAGCUUCAUGUUGAACGCUAUUUUUGUUUCUUGAUAUGAGAAGUUUAAGGUUUGUCCUUUAUAUAUAUAUAUAUAUAUAAUUAUUGAAUUAAUAAUUGACACAAAUUAAUGUACUAAUCAUCCAAUUAUAAACUAGGCAUGAGUAAAGAAAAGUAAAUGAAAUGAAACAAAUUAUAUAUGUGAUUUAAGUGAUAUAAUCAUAAACCUAAACUCUUAUUUAUACAUAAUUAUAUAUGUAUCCGGGCCUAAUGGGCUGGGCUAUCGUAGGCUUAAUCGGGCUGGGCUAGGCUUCAGACACCCAAGCCCAAGGCGGGUCGGGCCAUCUCAAAGCCGAUAACGAGUCGGACCGGACUUUUUUUUCGAUGGGCCGGGUGGGACCCUAUCGGCCCAUGAGCCCACAUACCAAAUGAUGAGGCCUAUCUGUGGCUAACACCCUUUGGCCACGAAUUGGCUGUGGUCAAAAUGAUUAUAAGCCACAGGUAAUAUGUGGCUUAUAAGUCCGUUUUCUAGUAGUGACGGUUGUUUAGCCUUAUGUUUCUUACCAAAGUAACGGAUAAUUAGUCCCUUAUUAAAAUUUUGGAUAAACCACUUAGGUUUUUGUCUAGUUGUAUUUUUCUUUCCAAUAUAAGAAGUCUUAAAUUUGAUUCUUCCCUCACUUGAGGACGAAAAAAAAAAAACAUAGACAUAAUUGAUGACAUAUAUUUACAACCAACACAUUCAAAUUUUCAAAAUCUAUAAUGACAUAAAGCAAUCCAAGUUCCUACCUCUAAUCACUGCACCCACAAUCUUGACCAAGUGUUUUAAUCCAAAAAUUCUUUGAGAUCUUGAAUAAAAAGUUCGGUGACAUUUCAACCUUUACCACAAGUGUUCUAUUAUACUUUAGCUUCCAAUCAUAUGAAGUUCUAAUCUGACUUGAAAUGGUAUAAGAUAUCGUACAAGAUUUGUUAUAUUUACUAGCCUCUUGGCACAUGCUCACGCAUGUACCAAUUGGUUUUAUUUUUUAUUUUUUAUUUUAUUUUAUUUUUAAAAAAAACAUGGAUAGUUAUGUUCCACAAAAGUAGGACAUAUUAUAUGAUUUUGUUUUUAAUUUUAAUUUUUUUAAUAUAAAAAUGUGAAUUUACCAGAUUAUCCUCAUUUAAUUAAUAAUUUCAAUUCUUAAUGUUUCAAUUAACUAAGGGUAUUUUCUGGUAUUUUGAAUGUUUCAUCAUUCUCUGCCUUUUGCUUUAUAUAUAUAGAUAAUGAGAUGGACUAAAUUUACCUUACGUGAAUUAUGUGUAAACAAGUAUUAUGUGUAUGCUUCGGUGGGUUGUAUUAUAAAUGUUGGGCUAAGAAAAAAAACCACACAUGGGCUAUAGCCCAAGUUAAUCUUUACUAAGGACCGUCCCUAGUUAUGAUACAACCCACAAUCAAAUUGGUCUACAAAUAUCAGUUCAAAAAAUCUCAUAUAUACAUAAAGAAACGGUGCAUGCAAACACGUGCAUCCAUGAACAAGAAAAUCUUAGGUGGCAAUUGGUAUCUAUUCAAGUAUGAAAUUCAAAAACUUUGAUUUUUCGUAAAAACAAAGAGUUCUAAAAUCAAACUUUUAAGAUUCAAAAACUUGUUUGGUAUUCAAGGAGGGAACUCAAACUUUAAAAACAAGGAGUUCUAAAAUCCAUACUUUAAGAUUAAAAACAAUUUGUCGUAAAAAUUCUUAAAAAACCGAUUUGUUUGGGUUUUAAGUAUUUGUGUGGUUUUGAGUAACUAGGUCUACCAAACAUAUUUUUUGAAUUUUGGACUCAAUUUAUUUUUUUAAAGUUUAAAAAGUUGAAUUCAAAUAAAAUACCAAACAUACACUUAACAUCCUUUCGAUAUCACAUUUGUCGUAUUUUAAAAAAAAAAAAUAAAGACAAAUACGAGAUGGGGAGGCAUUAGACAAUUGAGAUUGAGAAAAAGUAAAAAAAAACAUAAAGAGAAUGAGAUAAUAUUUAGUUAGAAAUUACAAAAAAAGAAAAAAAGGAAAUAAUAUUAUUCUUUUCAUUUUUUAUCCAUUCUCUUGUCACCUCUCACAAUACCAUAUCAAGUAUGGGAGCUCGCAAAAGAAAAAAAAACACGGACCUCUCAACAGGCCUCAUGUAAGUGUGCGUACAUACAUCGUCUAGUAUGGGCGCUCGUCCUCGGGCUGGUACAUGGGAUCGUAGCUGCAAACGAUAUAGUUCUUUCCAUCCUUGCACUUUGAAAUCCCACAUCCGACCUCGGUGGUUUUGCCCCAGAUCACAGCAAGGUAGUGACCACAUUCCUCUUUGACACAUUUGUUGGACUUGGGGUCAUAGAACUCUUUCUCGGUGACCCAAUAUUUAGUGCCAGCUGCGCCGGUCAUGCCGUCGCCCGAGGUCAAGUUCUCACCCCAACGCCCUCUUGAGUGCUCCAUAGCGCAGUCGUCAACUCUUUUGUUGGCAUAUUCUUGGGCAUACUGGGCCAAAGUUGUGUUCCACUUAAGGGGUUUGUUGCCGACCUCUUUACGAGCCUUGUUGUGCUCCUCGAGGAAGCCAUCGAUCUCUGCUUGGGAAAUGUUUGCAGAGACAAGAGUGAAGACCAAUGCGACGCAGUAAAUGGCCAAAAGUAGCUUCGUGUUGAACGCCAUUUUUGUUUCUUGAUAUCAGAAGUUUAAGGUGUUUUCUUUCUAGCAGAGAAGGUUGGAUUGUUAGAUGUUGAUUGAAAUGGGAAAUGAGAUUGUGCAUAUUUAUGUAGUUGGGAGGGUUAAAUAUAGGAUCCUAAAAUGGGAGAGUUUGUUAAGUUCUAUAAACAAGCAUGGAGAACAAAUAAAACUUGUGUGGGAUUGCGUCACCGAGUGGAUUUGGUAUCCAUACAAACAUUGUAUUGUCAAACAAUCAAUCUAUACCAUUGAUUAAGUGAAGUUUUAUUUGAAUCCUAUAAUGAGGUGAGGAUUUUUAGCUGCAAUGACUAAAACAUUUAGCUGUACAUUGAGGAUCAAAGUUUUGACUUUGUUAACGAUAUAAAUGAACUUUGUUAUAUGACCCCUCUGUCAACUUCUUGUGGCUUUUAAAAAUAAAAGGUAAAGCAUUAUGCUUCUUACCAAAAUACAAAGAAAUGAAAGAGGAAGCAAAUUAAUUAGACAAAAAGGUCACCUUUCUUUCAUAUAGUUUGACGAAAUUUUCACUUUUGUUUUUGUAAUUUUAAUUCUAGCAAUUUGAUCCAUGUAGUUUGAUAAACACGCGUCUCUUAUGUGGAGGAGUAUUUUGUAUCGAAUUUUGGACGAAAUUCGCAGAAAAUUUAGAUGGGUCCUUGAAUUGCGAUAGAAUCAAACUACAAAGGUUAAAUUGACAAAAUUAAACUACAUGGACCAAAAAAAAAAAUCUGACAAAUUACACGGACUAAAAAUGACUUUUUUUCCCAAUUAAAUAUGGAUAUAGAGGAAAACGUUUGAAGGGUUUUGCCUCUCUUGAUCUUGCAACCACUUUGGGCUCUCAUCCGCCCGAGUUGCCCCAUAUCAGAUUGGCAUUGUUUGGCCCAUGAAAAACUCUUGCUAGUUUUCUUGGUUUUCAGGCCCAUUGUAGCAAAAAGGAAAUACGUAUGGUUGUUUAGCCUUAUGUUUCUUAGCAAACUAAUGUAUAAUUAGUCUUUUAUUAGAAUUUUGGAUAAACCAAUUACAUUUUUGUCUAGUUAUAUUUUUUUUUCCAAUAUUAAAAACAAAAAAUUCUCAAAUUCGAAUCUUCCCUCACUUAAAGAUUAAAAAAAAUAAACACAUAGACAUAACUGGAAAAACCAUAGACAUAAUUAGUGAAAUAUAAUUACAACGAACACAUUCAAUUUUUCAAAAUCUAUAAAGACAUAAGAGAUCCAAGUUCCUACCUAUAAUCACUGCAACCACAAUCUUGACCAAGGGUUUUAAUCCAAAAAAUCUUUGAGAUCUUGAAUAAAGUUAGGUGACAUCUCAACCUUUACGACAAGUGUUCUAUUCUACUUUAGCUUUCCAAUCAUAUAAAGUUCUAAUCUUACUUGAAAUGGUAUAAGAUAUCAUAUAAGAUUUGUUAUAUUUAUAAUGGAAUGGGCUAAAUUUACUUUACGUGAAGGAUGUUGUAUUAGAAAUUUUGGGCUAAGAAAAACCACCACACCUGUGCUAUAGCCCAAGUUAGUCCUUACUAAGGACCAUCCUUGUUUAUUGUACAACCACAAUCAAAUUGGUAUACAAAUCUCAUAUAUACAUAAAGAAACGGUGCAUGCAAACAUCAUGAACAAGAAAAUUUUAGGUGGCAUUUGGUAUCCUAUUCAAGUAUGGAAUUCAAAAACUUUUAUUUUUCUUGAAAACAAAGAGUCCUAAAACCCAUUUUUUAAGAUUCAAAAACUUGUUUGGUAUUCUAUGAGGGAACUCAAACUUUAAAAACAAGGAGUUCUAUAUUAGUAAGAUCAGUAGCAAACUCGAGGAGGAAGAGGCUGCAUGACACAUAAAUAGAGUAUAAUUAAUUUUUAUUUGUUUAUUGAAUCGAUAAUUUGAUAUUGAUUUGUUUAAUUAAUUGAUAAAUUACCGUCAAUUAGUCAUAGUUAUAGAUAUAAAACCCUUAUUUUGUUUUAAUUAUACAGUUAUACAAUGGUACUUUAAGAGAGAGUUUAAAUCCUCCUUCAAAUAAUUAUACAAUUAUGCAAUUGCUUUAGUUGAGAGAGCUUUGAAUAUUGUGAAAACACCAUUGCCCAACAAAAUAGGGAAUCAAUGGUUGAGUGAUAGUUUGGUUGUUUACAUCGAGAAAGAUGUUUUUUUUUUCCUUAUAUUAGUAACGCAAAUAUAAUGCGACAUUUUCAUGAUAUGAAACCUCGUCAGCAACAAUUGUAGGUUAAUUGUAAUAUUAUUUUUUGUAAUUAAUUAUGAAUAACAUUAGUAUUGUUUAAAUUAUAAGGAUAUUUAGUUGUCUUAGUCUUUAAAAAUUGCACCUCCAUUGAAAAAUUCUUGAGUCUGCCACUGCCCAUCCAAUUAUGCUUCGCCAUGUGGCAUCCUAUUACUCAAGAUGGAACGUAAUUGAUUGAGAAUAACAAAACAGUACUAUCCACGUGGUAUAUAAGUUUUUGUCAGGAAAUCUUUGGUCAAGGAUAGGCAAGUGGGGUUGUAGGAGGCAUGCAUGUGGAAUAUGUAUUGGAAUAUAGUGUGGAAAAUUUUCUUUCAAUAAUUAAUGGUCCUUUUUCCUUGCAUUCAUUUUUCGUCCUUCUGCCUUGAGGGAAAUGGUAGAAAUUGGUUGAAUUGUCAUUGUUGUCCUACAAUUCUUAUAGAGCAUAAUAGACAUUUCAAACUUUUCCUAAAUGGUCUCGGUCAAGAGAUUAUAGUCUUGUUUGUUAGGGAGGACUAGAUUAGACUAGACUAAACUAACAAAAUGUAUAUAUUUCAUGUGCAUUCAAAGCAUAAUAUGGAUAUUUUGCCUAACUUGGAGGAAUAAUGGAGAUUAUCUAUAAGAGGUUGAUUACUAAAACUUAUCCCCCUAAUCCCCUUGAAAAUGGUGGGAUUAUAAGGGAUAAGUUUUAGUCAUCAACCUAUUAUGAAUACUCCUCCUUCAUCCUCCAAGUUGGACAACAAUAUCCAAAUUAUGCAUUGAUUGCACAUAAAAUAUAGAUAUUUUGCUAGUUUAGUCCAAUCUAAUAUAGUGCUUCCUAACAAAUGAGGCUUGUCAUAGAAUAGUACAUAUCUUAACUCCCAAAUAUUUUGUGCAAUGUAAUUGCGUGGGUCGGUAGCAACUAGUUAGCUAGGACUGAGAGGUUUUCCUUGAAUGUUUCAAUUAUAUAUUAUUCUUCAUUAUUGAGUAACUUAAAAUUUCCUAUCAUCAAUUUUAAUUGUAUAUAAUUAUAAAAGGUGAUGUGACGUGAUAAGAGCGAUAGGCAAAAAACUGCAUGUGUCUGCCUAGUUUCUACGAAAUGUUUCUUGCCUCCGUUGUUCAUCAACAGAGAAAUUUCCACAGUAAUUUAUUGUCUUAACCCGGGAAUCCAAAAUUAGAGACGAGUCUACUUCCCUUGACGAGGAAACAUUAAGCGAAAAAUCAAAGUCUGAAGCAUUUCACAAAUAGCAGGACUAACUAGCAGCUAGCAUAUGCAUGCAUAGCUAGUUGCCAAAUUUUAUUCAAAUAUUAAAGUAGCUAGCGUAGUGAGCACCAUGCUAACUUCUAGCUAGUGAACCAUACAAUCAUUCCUUUCAUUUUAUUCUUGAACAGAAAAUAAAAGCUCAAUAGUGGUUUGUUAAAAAGCUUAAUUAAUUUAGUAAGGCCUCUGCCCACGAAUGUUUCCCCGGGGAUCAUAGUUGCACCCAAUAAACGUGCCUCCAUUGGUGCAUCGCGCUUUUGCACACCCUAAACGAACUGAGUUGCGCCAAACCACCUGCGUGUAAUGACCACACAUCUUCCCAGCAGCACAGGUGUUAGAGUUGUAGUCAUAGUCGGGCUUCUCCCCUACGAACAAGUUCACGGCAGCUGUGCCAGACAAGUCACCGGUGCUCUUCGCUAUGUUUUCACCAUAAGGCCCAUUAGAGUGCACUAGAUUGCAAUCACCAGCACGGGAGUUUGCAUAUCUUUGGGCAUAGGCUACUAGGUUGGGGUCCCAGGUCAAGGGAGCAACACCUACCUGGGCUCGAGCGGCGUUGUGGGCAUUGAGGUAGUCUUGUGGUGAGUCUUGGGCACCAGUGGAUUGGAGCAGGGCUAAGCCUAUGAGACAUACGAAGGCAAAGGAAAUCUUAGACAACCCCAUGGUAUUGGUUUGUAGGCUCACAAUGCAAACUAAUAUCUUGAGUGGUUGAUGAAGGAAAUGAGGCAUAUAGCAUGGAGUAUUUAUAAGGAAAGUGUUACGAGGGGACUGUAAUUUUCACUGAGGGCCAACAUUUUAUUUAUGACACAUAUUGAGAGGCCUUACUAGUCAAAGUGAAAGGAAAAUAAACCCCUCCGUGAAUAAGAACUUGAUCCAAGAUUUAGAAUUUAAACCUGACUUGAAAACCUAGAGGAAGAAAAUUUGCUUUGAUUUGGAAAGAGGACCAUCUAACAAAUUUUCUUCUUGUUUGGGUUUUUUAUAUAAAAAAUAUAUAUGUGGUCUCAACUUGUUAGCCUUUGGAUUAUUAUUUACUGUGGUGGCAAGUCUACGAUAAAAAUCAAGCAGAUUAAAGCAGAGAAAAACCAAGCAGAGGAUCCGAAUCUCUAUGUUAUCAUCAAUAAUAAAGAUAUUUGAAUUUGGGACAUCUUUUAAUAUUAAAAAAAAGAUAAAUAGAGAAAACUCUACGAGAGAAAAAAAGUUUCAGCUGUCACCCCUUUUACAGGUCGGUGAUGUAACGACCCGGUCCUAAAUAAAUUGGUAAUUAUUAAUUUAUUCAGAUAAAAUACCAUUUUUGACAGGACCCGACCCAAAUUCCCCUUUGGAAUCCGAGCCGAACCCUGUUCGUGAUCGACACUUGGUGAGUGCCGAGCAUAAAUGACCUGGUUGCCCUUUUGGUUACAAACUUAAUUUCAUUUUAGCCUUGACUUCUAAUGAAAAUUCGGCAGAGUCUUCCCUGUAAUUUGUUCAAUCCCCAAAAUUACAUCUGUCAAGACAAGCAUAUAUAUACAACCCAACUUCCAGCAUGCUUAUAUAUACAAUCAACAAUAAAGUUCGAGCCCAGGGGCAAUAUCAGAGAAUUUAUACAGAUUUAUUUACAAGAAGAACAUUUGGAGGGCCACGGACCCUACACUAAGCUGAAGAGAUGCAGGAAGCGGAAACUGCCCUGUGGUGACUUUCAGAUGCACGUCUACGGCCUGGGGGCGCAAAACCUUUAAAAGGUGAGUGGACCCAAAAACAAAGUUUUAAGAAAAAUAGCAUAAGAACAUACUAACCCCAUUGUAAAAACAGUUAUACAAAACUAAUUCAUUCUUUUAAUCAUAUACAUACUGAAAUCAAUGCACUCAUAUAUAUAUAUAUAUAUAUAUAUAUAAAUAUAUGUCAAGCAUACUCAUAUCAUCUUUAAACUCUUAAAAGCACUGAAAUCAGUUUUAAACUACCACAUAGGAGUACCCUUUUAAUUUUGUCAAUUCUUGAUAUCCGUCACUUCCUGAUAAUUCGUCAAUUCCCCUGGCAGGUCUCGGUGACAUAAAGUCAACUCAAGCCGCAAACUGGCAGGAUUCAGGGGACCGUAGUCAGCCUGAUCCGCAUUCUUGGCUCCCACGGUCCCGGCGUCCCCGAAACUCGUGAGGCAAAUGUCAAGCGCACUGACAAAAUUGAAGGCAAAUUGGAUGUCCGUGGACAUCGUCAUAUCCGAAGGCAACAUAUACCGAAGGCAACCUGGAUGCCCGUGGACAUCGUCUUAUCUGAAGGCAACUUGUUUCUAUAACUGGGUACCUAAGGUGGCUUAAGAAAAUCUAAAAUCUCUGAAACAUAUGAUAAAUAACUGAAUUUCUGUUAAAUCUAAAACUUUACUGGCAUUUAUAUGUUAUUUAGCUAAAAUUUCCUUUUCCUAUAUCCAUAACGGAUAUCUCACUCGGUAGCAUGUGAAUUCAAAACAUUUAAAAGCAUAUAUCAACUAAUAAAACACUAAUCUUUGCAUAAAACUUAUUUAAGAUCAAAUACUGUAGCUGAAUAGCAUAAAUUCAUUUAUGAAAACAAAGAGUCCACUCACAGCUGGUCCGAGUUCGCUGGACCUUUUGGAGGUCCCUCAUGUGGGUCAACUGGUGCCCGGGUGCCUGAUUCAAGUACCAUAAUAAUAUAUAUUAAUAAAACUGCUCGAUAUAAAUAUUUAAAUAAAACCCUGACCCCCAACUCCUAGAAGUGCGUGCAUCCAAUUAAAGUUACUCCUAUGCCCACAUUAACGUUCCCUUAAACCUAGGAUACAAGUCCCAUGAGUCUGGUCUCAAUCGGACGGUUAGUUUGGUCACAAACGCACGAACAAAGGCUCGAACCCAUUGAACCAGCACAAGAUGCAAAAUCCGUUCAGGGUUCAAACGUUAUCCAAAUUAAGAUCCGCGAAUUCCUACACGCUCUUGACAACACAAGGACCAUUCUAGGACUAAGUGUGGUCCCCACCAAAUGGAGGAGAGAAGGUGAUGGGUUAAAAAAAAAACAGGGAGGGGCUGUGGUCGCGAGGAAGAAGAGUGAGGGGAGAGAGAGAGAGUCAGUUUUUAAAAAAAAUCCUAAUUUCAAAAUUAUCAUUUUGCCCUUCUAUGUAUUUUGACUGUAUUUUCUUUGUUACAACUCCGAUUCAAGUCCACUCCGUGUCUACGGACUCGCUUCGUCGCGCUCUACGCACGAGGCAUGUGGAAUAGUCAAAUUCUUUCUCGGUCAAAAAGUCAACUUUUUCUUUACUAGAAUAUUCUAAGGGCAAACGUGUCAUUUCCUUUUAAUAGUUUAAUAGUUAAAUAUUAAUUAAGGUUUGGGUUAUUACAAUUUUGCCCCUAGAAUAUUUUAUUAGGUUUAAAGUUGACUUUUUGAUCGGGAAUGAAUUUGAAAAUUUCAACUGUACCGUUGCGUAGAGCAUGGCAAGAUGAGUCCGUAGACACGUAGUGAGCUUGAAUCGGAGCUGUGACGAAGAAGUGACAAGCAAAACAUCACCAAUGGUACAAUCGUAAAUAUUGAGAAAAAGGUUUGAUAAAAUUUGAUUUUUUCUCUCUCUCGGCGCAGUCUCUCUCCUCUCUCUCGCGACGGUAGUGCCAACCGGCAACAUUUUGGCUAGCCGUCCUCUCGUUCGGCCACCAAAGCUGACGGGGCCGGUACCAAAAUGACCUGGCCACCGUCCUCUUCCAACCCCAGUCCUUCACCGCCUCGGUCUGCCUCCGUUAGUUGGGUUAAGUGAUUAAGUGAGAUUAUGAGAUUAAUUUAUUGUUUGAAACUGGGGAACAGCGGAUGUUUUAUGGUUGUUUGAAGUUUAUGCAAUAUUAGAAUUUGGAAUAUAUGAUUAUUAAGAAGUGAGUGGACAUUUAUUUUAAUAUGCACUAUUUUCAAUGAUUGAAAGAAUAUGCAUGGAUUUGGUAUAUAUAUAUAUAUAUAUAUAUAUAUAUAUAUAUAUAUUUGGAAUAAGGAUUGGGAAAUUUAUAAGUUUCGAUAUGAGUAAUAUGAAAUUGAGAAUUGAAUUUUGAUGUGGGAAGUUAUAUGAUUAUAUUAUGUAUAAGUACAUACUUCCUAUACGUGGCGUUGAAAUUUCCGGCGUAUAGGAAGAAUGUAUGAUUAUGUAAGUCUCACAAGUGACGUUGGAUUUUUCAGUGUGUGAGACACUUCCUAUACGUGGCGUUGGAAUUUCUGGCGUAUGGGAAGAAUGUAUGAUUAUUUAAGUCUUACACGUGGCGUUGGAUUUCCCAAUUUGUGAGACACUUCUCAUACGUGGCGUUGGAUUUUCCGAUGUAUGGGAAGGAUAUGUGAUUUAAUGGUCUCACACGUGGCGUUGAAUUUUCCGGCGUGUGAAACACUUCCCAUACCUGGCGUUGAAUUUUCCGACGUAUGGGAAGGAUAUGUGAUUUGAUGGUCUCAUACGUAGCGUUAUAUUUUUCGGCGUGUGGGACACUUCCCAUACGUGGCGUUGGAUUUUUCGACGUAUGAGAAGGAUAUGUGAUUUGAUGGUCUCACACGUGGCGUUGGAUUUUAUGGCGUGUGAGACACUUCCCAUACGUGGCGUUGGAUUUUCCGACGUAUGGGAAUGAUAUGUGAUUUGAUGGUCUCACACGUAGCGUUGAAUUUUUCGGCGUGUGAAACACUUCCCAUAUGUGACGUUGGAUUUUCCUGCGUAUGGGAAGGAUAUGUGAUUUGAUGGUCUCACAAGUGGCGUUGGAUUUUCCGGCGUGUGAGACACUUCCCAUACGUUGCGUUGGAUUUUUCGGGGUGUGAGACACUUCCCAUACGUAGCGUUAGAUUCUCCGGCUUAUGGGAAGAAUAUGUGAUUAUUAGGUCUCACACAUGGCAUUGAAUUUUCCGGCGUAUUGGAAGAAUAUGUGAUUAUGUAGUCUCACACGUGGCGUUGAAAUUUCCUGCGUGUGAGACACUUCCCAUACGUGGCGUUGGAUUUUCCGGCGUAUAUGAAUAAUAUAUGACUAACAGGUCUCACACGUGGCGUUGGAAUAUUCCGGCGUAUGAGACAUUAUGAUUAUGUUAUUAGCUCAUCACACGUGGCGUUGGAAUAUUCAGCGUGUGAUAGAAUAAUAGGGAGAAGAAAAAGGGAUUAUUUUACUAUAUCGAGGAAAGAGUGAUGCUUAAAAGAAUUAUGUUUGGUGUGUUGUGAUUUAAAUUAAAAAGGGAAAGGAGUAAAUUCUAGAAUGUAUUAUUUUUGUGUUGCUGUAAUGGUUUGUACGUUAUCGGAAUCGGGAUUUUGUGGAAAGAACUACGUGUGGCUUGAUCCCUCAGUAAGAGUACGUAGGUAGCCUGGGGUCCCACUCAGGUGCAGCCGCAGACUAAAUUUUAUUUAUGUUGUUUUAUGGAGAUUGGUUCUGACCUGGUCGUUGGUCCUGAAAUUCGGUUGAAAACGAGAUGCGAUUAAAUAAUUGUUCAUACUCCCGUCUGGCUGAGGGAGGAUUGUGUAAAUGUGUUCUGGUCAAAACAGGCACAAAGCUUGUUUUGGAUUGAUGUACGAUUUGGGCUAAAACCUUAAACUAUUUGCGAUUGCGUUAAGAGGUUAAAACCUCGCAUAUUGGAUAGUUGGGAAAGUUAGAUGAUGUAAAUUUCAUUUGGCAUUCAUAAGUGUGUUUGAGUUUAUUAUUUGCCUUGUUUAAGGUAUGAUUUGGCUUAAGGACUUUGUUGGUAGUUUGGUUUCGGAUCAUUUGAGGGCCGGAUGCCGAUUUUGUGAAUUGCAUGAAAUUAUCUUGUGCAUGCUGCCGGUUGGUGAUAUUAAAUGUGUUUUAUGCAGGUUGAAAUUUUUGGGAAUUGUUCAAUUUACAGGGGAGACUCUGCCAAAAUUUUGGUAGAAAGUCUCGGUCUGUAAUAAGUGGGCCCGACGUCGAUGUGAUGUUGGAAUUUCCACAGGACUCAUCUCGGGUUUCAAGGAAUUCGGGGUGGGUCCUGUCAGGUGACCUCCAUCCCUCUCCUCCUCCCCUUCCUUCCCCUCUUUACGUACCCUCCCAGACAUGUCCCUCCCUUAUCCACCUCUACCCAUCCCCUCCAGGGCCUCCAUCUUAGUUGAGUGUGGUGGCCGCAGAAAAACUUAGUUGAUAAUGUGAUGUGGUAUUGACUUGUUAACUAAAAGUAUUUGAGCCAUAAUAACUAAUUUAUUGGUGUGUAAUAUAUAUAAAUUCUAUUAGAGUGCUACUAUUUCCAUCCACUUAUCCUAUUUUUCUAUCAAUCUUAUCUUCUCACUCAUCAUGUAAAUUUGAAAAAGCACAAUCCUAUUUUUCCACCCAACAUUAUUUCUAAAAUACCCUUUAUAAAUCACCUUAUGUGGUAUGCCAACUCAUCUAAUACAACUAAGUUUUUUUAAUUGUUUUAUUAUUAUAUCCUAAUUAAAGCAAUAAUUACCAAAAAGUCUUUCAAUCCCCCUUUUUCUUCUUCCUCCUCCCCCACACUCUUCCCACAAAAUUUCCAUUAUCGCCAGAUUUCUCACGGGCGCCGCUAAACCCAUCUCGCUCACUCAUUCUUCCAUGACAGUUCCCUUUCUUCACCAUGGCAGUUGUAUCGGAUUUCUCACUGCAACUGCAUCAUUGUUCAUGCCUCUCUCAUCUUCUAUAUUUUCUAGAUCUAUAUAUAAAGAUAAUUGGUUUAGAUAAUUACAUUGUUCUGGGUGUUUGGGAUACAAUAACUAAUAAUUAUAAAACCUAUCAUGAACCGAUUUGUUUUAAGACUUCAACUAAGAAAGUUAUUGAGAUAUUUGUUGUGGUGAUGAAAGAAAAGAUUUUUUCAGAUUUGCAGGAAGAGUUUAGUUGAAUUUUUUGGAUGGUCUAAAGAGGAUAUAAGGUUUCUAUAGGAGUAGCCUUUUGAAUUAUCUAGCCACUCCCCAUCUGAUUAUGCUUCGCCAUGUGAAAUCCUAUUACUCAGGACGAAACGUAAUUGAUUGAGAAUAAUAAAACAGUGCUAUCCACGUGGUAUUGACAAGCAAGUGGGGUUGUAGGAGGCAUGCAUGUGGAGUAUGUAUUGGAAUAUAGUGUGGAAAAUAAUUUUCUUUCAAUAAUUAAUUGUCCCUUUUCCUUGCAUUCAUUUUUCGUCCUUCUGCCCUGAGGGAAAGGGUAUAAAUUGGUUGAAUUGUCAUUGUAGUCCUACAAUUCUUAUAGAGCGUAAUAGACAUUUCAAACUUUUCCUAAAUGGUCUCGGUCAAGAGAUUAUAGGGUUGUUUGUUAGGGAGGACUAGAUUAGACUAGACUAAACUAACAAAAUGACUAUAUUUCAUGUGCAUUCAAAGCAUAAUAUGAAUAUUUUGCCUAACUUGGAGGAAUAAUAGGGACUAUCUAUAAGAGGUUGAUUACUAAAACUUAUCCCCCUAUCCACCUCUACCCAUCCCCUCCUCCAGGCCCUCCAUCUUAGCUGAGUGUGGUGGCCGCAGAAAAACUUGGUUGAUAAUUUGAUGUGGCAUUGACGUGUUAACUAAAAGUAUUUGAGCCAUAAUAACUAAUUUAUUGGUGCGUAAUAUUCAUCAGUUGUAUUAUGUUGUUUCUUUCUGUAAACAUCGAAAUUUCAACAUCUAGAAAGCUAGGAAAUAAUCAAGUCGCCAAGACAUCCCCCUUGACAUUUAUUGGAUUGCCAAACUUUUACUAGUAUUACUACAUUAAAAUUUGCAUAGCGCUUUCACUUUACUUCCAAGAAAGGGAAGAGAAAAGAAAAUAAGAAAUGAAAAACAAAAAACAAGUCAAAAUAUGCAUGAAUGCUCGAUCGCAUGAUUCUCCGAUCUAUGAAUUCUUUUCUAUUUUGCUUUUUAUGAUUUAGGUUUAAUCAGAAGACCAAAAAUAAAAAUACUAAUGGCCAGGAUCCCUUCAGGCACACACUGUGAUCAAUUAAGCCUAUUAGUAAGGCUUCACCCCAACAGAGUUGCCUGCAGGAUCAUAGUGGCAAACGACAUAGGAACCUCCAUAGGCGCACUGGACUUUGGCACACCCAACAAGCCCUGUGUCACGCCAAACGACCUGCGUAUAAUGGCCACACUGCUUCCCAGGGGCGCAGGUGUUGGUCUUGUAAUCAUAAUCGGCCUUCUCCGCCACCCAUUGGUCCACAGCCAAUUUCGCCGUCAAGUCUCCGUCAGGGCUCAUUGCAAGGUUUUCACCAGGGCCUGAAUUCGAGUGCACGAGGUCGCAGUCGCCGGCACGUUGGUUAGCAUAGUUUUUCGCAGAAUCUGCUAGGCCUUCAUCCCAGUCCAAGGUGUCGAGGCCAACCGCCGCUCGCGCCGCGUUGUGGGCUUUCACGUAGUCAUCUGGGGCGUUUUGGGCACGGGCUAACCCUAUUAGGCAAAUUAAAAGUAGGGCUAAUGAGAUCUUGUUCUUGCACAACCCUUCCAUAAUGUUAAUUAGUGGUUAAUUGUAAUAAUCUACAGAUUGUUCUGCUAAAGAGUUUCUUGUUGGAUAUGGAUUGGAAAAUACCUCAUUAUAUAUGUUGGAGAAAAUUAUAUAUGUUGUUAUUUUUGUGGAUGUGAAAAUUAAUUUUGUUUGCAUCAUGUGUAACCAAGGAAGAGCCCUAUAAGUUGCCGAAAUACCCGCACCUUGCAGAACCUAAAAUAGCUAGGCUCCUUUUAAUUGAGGAGGAGCUCCUACUCAAAACAAAUAGAAUUUUGACACUUGACAAAUUCCUUUAACCUUAUUUUUUUGUUUGAACUUGAACAAGUCUCAAACUUUUCCUUGGCCUAAACUUUUGUCAUUUCUAAUUUAAUCAGGGCUGAUGAGAUCUUGUUUUUUUUUAAAUUUAUAAUUAUUUAUAAUUUUUUUUUAGUAUAGGGGAUGAGGGUUGCUCACACACACAUACACAUAAAACUAAGAUGACAUGGGGGUUCGAACCUGAGACCUCUGGUUUGUAAGUGAAAGUCCUUUUCCACUAGGCUAGACUCCGUUAACGAUGAGAUCUUGUUCUUGGGGUGACGGAGACAUUUGUUGAUGGAAAAAUAUUGAGAUGUACGUCUAGUGGUUGGAUCAUUUAGUUAAAUUAGUUUUGUUUGCAUAUGUGUAACAAUGUAAGUGUAACCAAAGAAGAACCCUAUAAGUCGCCAAAACACCCGCCCCUUAAGAACUAAAAUCUUUUGUGCCAUUUGUAUCACCACCAUAAAUAUCAAGAAACUGAAAUUGUUAUUAAUCAGCACCAAAAAAAAAGAAAAAAAAAAAAGACUCCAACUAGUUAAACAAUUGUGUCAAUUUGGUCAAAUAUAGAGACAUUAUUACAGUUACAAAGAACCAUCAUAUUGGCUAUGGAGUAAAAUUGCGGAAAUACGCUCACCUUUCACGAAAAUAAAUGGGAGCCACAAAAUGAACCAUCAUGUCCUGGAAGAAGAUUAGCGACGUUUGUUAUUCCUUUUGUCGGCGUUUGUUAAAUUUUUCGUCUUGAUCUUUUUUGGUCAAUAAAGUCAAGAAACUCUGUGAGUUUUUUUGUGUUUUUUCUUCUCAUAAUUCAAGAAACUUUAUUGAGUUUGUUGGGUGUUCUUAGGGGGGUGUAUUCAAUUAGGAUUCUAGAGCGUUGAAAAAGAUUUUAAAAAUCCGGGUGUAUUCAAUUUGGAUUUAUACAAACUUUUAAAAAGUCUAUAACAGUUUGAGUGUAUUCAAUCUAGACUUGGUUGAACUUAUAAAAUGUCCAUCUAAAUGUGGGUGUAUUCAAUUAGGACUUGGAAAAAGUCUAAAUAAAUUUACCUGUAUUCAAAAGGAGAUAGAUUUGGAAGGAUUUAAUUAAGUGUUGGAGUUUGGAGAAUUUGUAGGUUUUAGGUAUAAAUAAUAAAGGCCAACAUAAGUCUAACCUCCACCCGAAAGAUUUCAUAUGACUUUUUUAUAUAUAUAUUUUUCUCCCUGUGUUAGAAAAUUUUCCAUCGUUUGGAAAACAAUGCACUAAGCCAUGCACUGACCUUGGGUGGUUACAAGCGUCCUGUGUUAAGCAAAGCUCCUCCAUUAGUGAUUUCUUCAAAUCAACCAGUUCGAGUUAUUGGGAGGAAAGCUCGGCUAGAGAUUUUUCGAUCUCCGAUAAGUUCCCCUUGGAUAUCUCUCGGCAUGAAGCCAACAUCAAGGCGGUGGAAGGUUGAGAUAUAUUUCCAUCACCAUAACAUUACUAGAUGAUAGGGCCCUUGCUUUUUGGAUAAAGGGUUGUUUUUUGUUUUGUUUUUUUUAAAUUGAAUUUUUGGACAAAGAGUUUGCUGUUCGUGAACAAAAUCAAAGGGAAAUUUCCAACUAGUGGAAAUAUCGAAGGGAAAUUCAAUUUGAAAUUCAUUGUUUAGGUAUGAAAGUUUCCAACUUGUGGAAAUUUCAAAGGGAAAUUCACUGUUUAGGUAUGAAAGUUUUCAACUCAUGGAAAUUUCAAAGGAAAAUUCAUUGUUGUGCACACAAGUAGAGGAAGAAUUUGGAAAUAAAAAAAAAACAAAAAACAAAAAGGGGAUGGUCGACUAGUGGCUAGGUCAAGAUAGUUUAAAGAAAAUAGUGUUGGGAAGAAAGAGUGAUAAAAGAAAAUAGUAUUGGGAAGUCUAUGCAAAUAUAUCUGAAUUUAUAACAAAAGUUUAUACAAAAGUAUGGAAGUCUAUAAUAAAAGCCUAUAUAAGUUCAUUAAAAAUCCGGGUAAAACAAUAGGAGUUAUACAAUUCCAGGAAAUCUGUCACUUAAAAAAAAUCUUUCACAAUCGUAUACAAUCCUAAUUGAAUACAACCCCCUUAGUCUCUUUAGAAGAGUCAUGCCAGUUCGUGGCUAAUUUUGUCCUUGAUAUCAUUGAAUUAUAUUUGGGAAAUUAUGGCGGUAGAAAUGGGUAUGGAAAAGUUAUUUUCGAGAGUGAUUCUCUCCAGAUCCUUUUCAGCUUUUUUACUGGCUCAAGUCACUAGGGAAGUUUUUACCUAUGUCUGUCAUAUUGCUAAUGGGAUGGCUCCCUUUAUUGUUUAUAUCCUUUGUACUCUUUUUUCACUGUAUCGUCUUUUUAUAAAUUAAAAAUAAAUAAAAUAAAAGGGAGCCACACAAAAUAGUUGGACAUUCCAACAAAAUGCGCAAUACGUUCUUUUGACUGAUGCAAUUUGUUUUGCAAGAGAUUGUUGCUCAACUGAUUAAGAAUAUUUACCCUUGAAUCCUAUGUCCAAGGCUCGAUUCCCCUUAGGGCCCAUUUGGUUCAUGGGAAAGGAGGUUUGGGAAUGAGAAUUCAAUUGUUUUCCCAUAUUUGGUAAGUCCACGCAUGGGAAAUAGUUGCCUGGCACAUGGGAAAGUAGGGGGGAAAGUGAAGCCCUCCUCUUAACUUAAGUUUUGUUUUCCUUCAUCAUGGGAAAGUUUGGAAAAAUAAGCCAACAUUCAAUGCACAAUUUUCAUGAGUAUUUUGUCCAUGAACAAUUUAGAAUUACAAUGUAUCAUUAAAUGCUUUCUUUUUUUAUUUGAUUUAAUAUGGGUAUAAUUGGAAAAUUAUACAAAAUUUGUUUUCCAUUCCUACUUAAAACAAACAUGGGAAAGGAAACAAACGGGACCUUAUCUUAAAAAAGAAAAAAAAAAGAAAAAAAAAAAGAGAGACAACUUUGGACGCAGCAUGCAUAUGUCUCCAGUUUCCAAAAUAAUAAAAAGUCAUUCUUCAUAUCCAUAAAGUUUAGCAUCCACCAUGCAGGUGAAUAAGAUACAAUAGAAUUGAUGAUCUAACAUCACUUCUUAAUUCAUUUUAUUCUUGAUAAUAUAGCUUCAUAGAUAUAGUUGGUUUAGUAAGGCUUCUCCCCAACAUAGUUGCCUGGCGGAUCAUAGUUGCACCCGAUGAAGGUACCUCCACUGUUGCACCUCACUUUUGCACACCCUACACGAGCUGUGUUACGCCAAACAACCUGCGUAUAAUGCCCACACAUCUUGCCAUCGGCACAAGUGUUAGAGUCGUAGUUAUAGUCGGCCUUCUCCGCCACCCACAUGUUCACGGCAUCCGUGCCCGACAAGUCAGCGGUGCUCAUGGCAAGGUUUUCGCCGUAGGGCCCACCAGAGUGGACAAGAUUGCAGUCGCCAAUGUGUUGAUUGGCAUAGUCUUGCGCAUAGCCCUGUAGCUUCUCAUCCCAUGACAAUGGCCCGACGUUUACCGCCGCUCGAGCGUUGUUAUGGGCAGUGACGUAGUCUUGUGGUGUGUCUUGGGCAUGAGUGGAUUGGAGAAGGGCAGAGCCUAAAACACAAACGAGGGCUAGUAAAAUCUUGGACAGCCCCAUGUUGGGUUUUGAGAGUUUGAUAAUGUAUGAAGGAGUUUUUUGUUGCGAGAACGAUGCAUAUGGUGUGGGGUAUUUAUAAUGGAAAAUGUGGAAAUUUAUAUGCGUUACCAUGCAAGAGCGUUCCUAAUACGUUACUGACUCUAUCAAUAAUGGAGUGUGCUUGUGCAAUAUAAUAUCAAAAUACUUGAGAGCUUGUAAAAUAUAUUAUCGAUGCAUCUAGAAAACAUAUGAGUUGCUUUGCCAUCAGAAAAUAAAAAAUAAAAAAACGUAUGAGUUGAUCAGUUAGCUAGGUCUAACUAAGGCUAACCGUCAAUUUCGGGGAAUAAAUUGAUGGCAAACUUUGGAAGACAAGAAAAGAAAAGUAAAUUUUGGAAAAUAGGGGAAAGGAAUAUGAAGUAUAUACCAUACCAUGAUUGCUUUGGAAAAUCCUUUAUGGACUUUACCAUACAAUGUGUAGUGCGUGUACUUGUACGGGUCUUGAAAAAGAAAGAGAUAUUUAGUCAUAUAUCCAUUCUUAGCACUAAAAUUAUAAAUAAAUUAUACAUCAUUUAAUUUCUAUAAACAAACCCAACAAAAACCCAAAAAAUGACAGCCGACUCUAUUGAAUUUAAUUUUAAUUAUUAAAUUACUUUGAUGCCCUAUUGAGUGUUUUGGGCUUUUUUAUGAGGUUUUGGGGUUGGGUUCAUUUUAAGAAAUCAAUUACAGUUUUGUAAUUCAAAAGAAGUUAAAAGCAUUUUUGUUAUGUUGUAAAUCGGCUUUGGGUGUGUUUCUAAACUCCAUUUCAUAUAUGAUUUUUUUUUAAUGUAAAUAAUUUGGGCUCUUAUAUUGGGUAUAAUAGUGAAUCUCCCAAAAGGAAAAGUGAAGUCAAUAUAACUGUUGAGGCCCAAAAAAUCUAAGGAGAUUCACUAUUAUACCUAAGGGCCUUCAUGACUCUACUCUCUAGGAUAAUGAGGUAUUGUCAUCUUCUCAAUACGAAGGCAAAUGAAUGAAAAUUGGAGAAAAGAGACUUGAGCAAAUUAUGUUGUGAUAUUGGAGCAUGAGAUUGAUAGGUACAUCACCGACCCUAUUGAAGAUGUGGUUGACUUAUUCGAUGUUUUAAAGUGGUGGAAAUUGUAUGAGGUUAAGUAUCCGGGUUUGGCACUUAUUGCAAAGGAUGUGCUUGCCAUCCCAGUAUCAACGGUGGCUUCAGAAUCAUGUUUUAGCACGGGUGGUUGGAUAGUUAAUUCAUUUCGUGCUUCUUUGACUCCUAAGAUUGUGGAAGCCUUAAUUUGCUCUCAAAAUUGGUUAAGGUAAGAUGACAUAUCCUCUUUAUAAUAUGAGCCAACAAUUCAAGAGAUGAAGUUGAAUUAGGUAUUUCUUUGUAAUUUUAUAUGCUUUAUUAGUGUAUUUUACAAUUUGUAGGUUUCACUAAUGUUUUAAUGGGUUUUUUUAAUUUUAUAUAGAUUUAUGAGUUCAUCCACACCUCCGAAGUCUGCCCCAGCUACUUUUUAAUGUUAGGAGGAAUUUAAUGAAGUUGCAACACUUAGGACUACAUGCUUUUGUGGAGUUUUUGCAUGCUUGUAUUUUGUUUAUAUUUUGCUGCAGUGGGAUUGUAAUUUAUUUUGAUGAAUUUGGAUUGUAAUUUAUUUUUUGCUAAAGUUGGAAUAUAAUUUAUAUUUGUUGAAGUUGGAUUGAUUUUGAUGUGUUAAAAGCUUGGUGGAAGUUUAAAUUUGAGCUUGGCCUAUUUGAUAAUGAACAAAUUGGUAGGUUUGUAGUAUAAUUAAAUUUUGGGCAGGUCUGUAAUAUAAUACAAUUUUGGGCAGAUCUGUAAUGAAAUAAAAUUAUAUAUUACAAUUUUGGGCUCAGGCCAAAAAUCAAAAAUCGCAAGAACCAAACUGGAAUUGGGCAGGUCUGGGUUGGUUCGGUCUUGCCUAUAAAUUUUUGUCAAAACCAGACAAAACCGAAUUGGUCUUCAUUUUCAAUUCAAGUUUUAAUUUUAUAAGAAAUCGGCCUGAGCCGGACCAUACUCACCCUUAAUAUCCAUUAAGUUUAGCAUCCACCAUGCCGGUGAAUAAGAUCAAUGAAUUGAUGAUCUAACAUCACUUCUUAAUUCAUUUUGUUCUUGAUAACAUAGCUUCAUAGAUAUAGUUGGUUUGUUUUUUUAGACGAAUAAAUAUAGUUGGUUUAGUAAGACUUCUACUCAACAUUAUUGCCAAUGGUGAAUAUUAUUGGCGCAUCCAUGCACCUGGCACAUGGUAGAAUUUUUGCAUAGGAGUUGUAAGGCUCGUAAGGCUUCUCCCCAACAUAGUUGCCUGGCGGAUCAUAGUUGCACCCGAUGAAGGUACCUCCACUGUUGCACCUCACUUUUGCACACCCUACACGAGCUGUGUUACGCCAAACAACCUGCGUAUAAUGCCCACACACCUUGUCAUCGGCACAAGUGUUAGAGUCGUAGUUAUAGUCGGCCUUCUCCGCCACCCACAUGUUCACGGCAUCCGUGCCCGACAAGUCAGCGGUGCUCAUGGCAAGGUUUUCGCCGUAGGGCCCACCAGAGUGGACAAGAUUGCAGUCGCCCAUGUGUUGAUUGGCAUAGUCUUGCGCAUAGGCUUGCAGCUUCUCAUCCCAUGACAAUGGCUCGACGUUAACCGCUGCUCGAGCGAUGUUGUGGGCAGUGAGGUAGUCUUGCGGUGCGUCUUGGGCAUGAGUGGAUUGGAGAAGGGCAGAGCCUAAAACACAAACGAGGGCUAGUAAAAUUGUGGACAGCCCCAUGUUGGGUUUUGAGAGUUUGAUAAUGUAUGAAGGAGUUUUUUGUUGCGAGAACGAUACAUAUAGUGUGGGGUAUUUAUAAUGGAAAAUGUGGAAAUUUAUGUGCGUUACUAUUCAAGAGCGUUCCUAAUACGUUACUGACUCUUAUCAAUAAUGGAGUGUGCUUGUGAAAUAUAAUAUCAAAAAUACUUGAGAGCUUGUGAAAUAUAUUAUCGAUGCAUCUAGAAAACAUAUGAGUUGCUUUGCUAUCAGAAAAAAUAAAAUGAAAAAACGUGUAUGAGUUGACCAGUUAGCGUCUAAAGAAGGCUAACCGUCAAUUUCGGGGAACAAAUUGAUCGCAAACUAUGGAAGACCAGAAAAGAAAAGUAAACUUUGGAAAAUAGGGGAAAGGAAAUUCUUUAUGGACUUUACCAUACCAUGUGUAGUGCGUGUAGUCUGUACGUGUGAAUGAGCUAAUAUGGCUCAAGUCCCACCAUGUUUACAGGAGGGUCGUAAUUGCAAAGAAACAAAACUCCACCCACUAUUACGCUGUACCCUUCCACACCCAAGACAAACCCAAGUGUCCCAAACACACUAAGUUUUGGACUCGUAGUUAUAUAAUUGGGCUUCGGCUCGACCAAGGCUCUCUUGGGCGCUUCUGAAUGUACCAAAUUACAAUUUUCAGCCCAGGCAAAGUCCAUAAACUGAAAUGUCAUUGCCCCAAUUUCCGCGUGUCAUUUAAUAAUUUUCAUGCUUAAAUUGCCAAACAAUGGAAAUAUCAAUUUCUCCUCUUUAAUUUCCGGCUUUUAACCAAAUUCCAAGUUAUUUUCCUCCAUCCAAACGGAGGGUUAAGGACUCUCUCUCUCUCUCUCUCUCUCUCUCUCUCUCUCUCUCUCUCUCUCUCUCUCUCUCUCUCUCUCUCCCAUUUGUGUACCGUGUCCUAUGAAAGUCAUGAUUUUCGGGGUUUUUAUCACAAAAAGGUACUGGAAAAAUCCGAAAAUUGCUCCUUAAGAAAUAAAAUUUAUUCUUAAAAAAAAAAACCUGAAAUAAAAAAUAAGACCGCAAAUUAACUAAUAGAUGUGGAGGAAAAUGGUUGGUCGGGUUCAGAGUCAGAAAAUUACGAGUAAGGAUCUUGUCCUCACCUCUUAAAAUUACGAGUUAAUAUGGUCAAGUCUCUUUGAGUUUUAGGGAGAGAAGUAUCACUAGCCCAAAAUCAAGAGUUAAUUAGUAUUAAUUAAAGAGAGGUUGAUGACAAUUAAAAAUAAAGAGAAUGAAAUAAAAACUUACAAAAAAUGAAAUAAUUUUUACUUCUUUUUUAUAUAUGUCAUCUCCUCUUAUAAUCAACAGUCACGUAAAAGAAUGUUGGGAGGGUGAGGAGGUAAAUUCGUACACACCCGUUACAUGUAAUCGCCUCUAUCCCCUCUUAUUCUUGUAAUUUCUCAACAACAAAAAUACAAGACCCCCAAACAGGCCUAGUCGAGGUGUGCACGUAUGUUUGUGUGACAUGUAAAUUUAGUGUCUAGUAGGG
rnacentral:lncRNA from 1 species